rnacentral:rRNA from 2 species
GACGAGCCUCACAAACGUUAUUCGGAAUUACUGGGCUUAAAGGGUGCGUAGGCGGUGCGGAAAGUUGGGUGUGAAAUCCCUCGGCUUAACCGAGGAAUUGCGCUCAAAACUACCGUGCUCGAGGGAGAUAGAGGAAUGCGGAACUUACGGUGGAGCGGUGAAAUGCGUUGAUAUCGUAGGGAACACCGGUGGCGAAAGCGGCAUUCUGGAUCUCUUCUGACGCUGAUGCACGAAAGCUAGGGUAGCAAACGGG